UAUGAAGAACGUAGCGAAAUGCGAUAAGUAAUGUGAAUUGCAGAAUUCAGUGAAUCAUCGAAUCUUUGAACGCACAUUGCGCCCCCUGGUAUUCCGGGGGGCAUGCCUGUUCGAGCGUCAUUUCACCACUCAAGCCUCGCUUGGUAUUGGGCAACGCGGUCCGCCGCGUGCCUCAAAUCGACCGGCUGGGUCUUUUGUCCCCUAAGCGUUGUGGAAACUAUUCGCUAAAGGGUGUUCGGGAGGCUACGCCGUAAAACAACCCCAUUUCUAAGGUUGACCUCGGAUCAGGUAGGGAUACCCGCUGAACUUAAGCAUAUCAAUAAGCGGAGGA
rnacentral:misc_RNA from 1 species